UAUGCAGGCAGAGUCAGUAGAUGGAAGGAAGAGGGAAAGAGAAACAGCAGGUAUGACGGUUAGCUCUUCUCUCAUAUAUGUACACAUACACCAACUUCACCAUUAAGAAGAUUUCAGCCAACAUCAGGGCAGAGAAGAGACUAAGCUGAUGUUUAAUCAGGGAAAGGAAGCAUUUUCUUUGUCCUGGAAUGCAGCCAUUAAGUUCCCGGAAGUAAUACGAGAGGAAGAAUGCCACAGAGAAAGAGAAGAAAGAAAGAAAGAGCCUCACCAGGAUCAGAGAAGGCGGAUGCAGCUUUGAGUUCACGAAGAUACAUCCGGACACCCAACAGCUUCAUGAAGAAUCGGAGAGAGGGCUGAGGUUCAGAAGUCCUUCAUCUUUAUAGCACUCUACCCAAAGUUUCUCUUUUCCUCUCUCGUACCUUCCCUC